rnacentral:rRNA from 1 species
AUUGAACGCUGGCGGCAAGCCUAACACAUGCAAGUCGAGCGGAUGAAGGGAGCUUGCUCCUGGAUUCAGCGGCGGACGGGUGAGUAAUGCCUAGGAAUCUGCCUGGUAGUGGGGGAUAACGUCCGGAAACGGGCGCUAAUACCGCAUACGUCCUGAGUGAGAAAGUGGGGGAUCUUCGGACCUCACGCUAUCAGAUGAGCCUAGGUCGGAUUAGCUAGUUGGUGGGGUAAAGGCCUACCAAGGCGACGAUCCGUAACUGGUCUGAGAGGAUGAUCAGUCACACUGGAACUGAGACACGGUCCAGACUCCUACGGGAGGCAGCAGUGGGGAAUAUUGGACAAUGGGCGAAAGCCUGAUCCAGCCAUGCCGCGUGUGUGAAGAAGGUCUUCGGAUUGUAAAGCACUUUAAGUUGGGAGGAAGGGCAGUAAGUUAAUACCUUGCUGUUUUGACGUUACCAACAGAAUAAGCACCGGCUAACUUCGUG